GACGAACGCUGGCGGCGUGCUUAACACAUGCAAGUCGAGCGGAAAGGCCCUUCGGGGUACUCGAGCGGCGAACGGGUGAGUAACACGUGAGUAAUCUGCCCUUGGCUUUGGGAUAACUACCGGAAACGGUGGCUAAUACCGGAUACGACAACCGUCUGCAUGGGCUGGUUGUGGAAAGUUUUUUCGGCCAGGGAUGUGCUCGCGGCCUAUCAGCUUGUUGGUGGGGUAAUGGCCUACCAAGGCCUCGACGGGUAGCCGGCCUGAGAGGGUGACCGGCCACACUGGGACUGAGACACGGCCCAGACUCCUACGGGAGGCAGCAGUGGGGAAUAUUGGACAAUGGGCGGAAGCCUGCUCCGGCAACGCCGCGUGAGGGAUGACGGCCUUCGGGUUGUAAACCUCUUUCAGUACCGACGAAGCGCCGAUGAUGGUGGUGACGGUAGGUACAGAAGAAGCACCGGCCAACUACGUG
rnacentral:rRNA from 1 species